rnacentral:rRNA from 1 species
UACGUAGGGGGCAAGCGUUAUCCGGAUUUACUGGGUGUAAAGGGAGCGUAGACGACUGUGCAAGUCUGGAGUGAAAACCCGGGGCUCAACCCCGGGAUUGCUUUGGAAACUGUGUAGCUGGAGUACCGGAGAGGCAAGUGGAAUUCCUAGUGUAGCGGUGAAAUGCGUAGAUAUUAGGAGGAACACCAGUGGCGAAGGCGGCUUGCUGGACGGUAACUGACGUUGAGGCUCGAAAGCGUGGGGAGCAAACAGG